rnacentral:tRNA from 1 species
ACUUCUUAAGCUCUAACAGUCUAGUAUUGAAGGUACUAAGGAGAUGAAGUA